AUGGACAGAGAUGGUCAUGCGGUGUGUGAAAUCACCUCUUUCUCUGUUAAGUUGAAUGGUGGGCUCUCUCAUCGCUUCAACCCUUCCAGAGGACUUCGACAGGGUGAUCCCCUCUCCCCAUACCUCUUUCUAUUCUGUGUGGAAGGUUUCUCGGCGCUUUGGAAAUAUGCACAACAGGAGAAGAAGGUCAAGGGAUUGGCAUUCAGGGGUAGCGGACCAACGGUAACUCACCUCCUUUUCGCUGAUGAUAGUGUGGUUUUCGUGGAGGGCUCAUGGGAUAAUUUUGAGGCAUUACGCUCCAUCUUAAAAGAGUAUGAGGAUGCCUCGGGAAAGAAAGUCAACCUUCAUAAAUCC
rnacentral:rRNA from 1 species